rnacentral:rRNA from 1 species
UACAGAGGUCCCAAGCGUUGUUCGGAUUCACUGGGCGUAAAGGGUGCGUAGGUGGUGAGGUAAGUCGGAUGUGAAAGCUCUGAGCUCAACUCAGAAAUGGCAUUGGAAACUACCUUGCUUGAGGAUUGGAGGGGGGACUGGAAUUCUCGGUGUAGCAGUGAAAUGCGUAGAGAUCGAGAGGAACACCAGUGGCGAAGGCGAGUCCCUGGACAAUACCUGACGCUGAGGCACGAAAGCUAGGGGAGCAAACAGG